rnacentral:rRNA from 1 species
CGAGGCGAACCGGGGAAACUGAAGCAUCUCAGUACCCCGAGGAAACGUAAUCAACCGAGAUUCCCCCAGUAGCGGCGAGCGAACAGGGAACAGCCCAGAGUCAACAUCAAUAUUUACCGCAGGAGAAAGAUCUGGAAAGGCCGGCAAUAAAGGGUGAUAGCCCCGUAUCUGAAGCGGUAAGUGUUGUGAACUCGAAGAGUAAGGCGGGACACGUGUUAUCCUGUCUGAAUAUGGGGGGACCAUCCUCCAAGGCUAAAUACUCCUGACUGACCGAUAGUGAACCAGUACCGUGAGGGAAAGGCGAAAAGAACCCCGGCGAGGGGAGUGAAAUAGAACCUGAAACCGUGUACGUACAAGCAGUAGGAGCACCCGAAAAGGUGUGACUGCGUACCUUUUGUAUAAUGGGUCAGCGACUUAUAUUCUGUAGCAAGGUUAACCGCAUAGGGGAGCCGUAGGGAAACCGAGUCUUAACUGGGCGUUAAGUUGCAGGGUAUAGACCCGAAACCCGGUGAUCUAGCCAUGGGCAGGUUGAAG